rnacentral:rRNA from 1 species
GACGAACGCUGGCGGCGUGCUUAACACAUGCAAGUCGAACGGUAAGGCCCUUCGGGGUACACGAGUGGCGAACGGGUGAGUAACACGUGGGUGAUCUGCCCUGCACUUCGGGAUAAGCCUGGGAAACUGGGUCUAAUACCGGAUAGGACCCUGGGAUGCAUGUCCUGGGGUGGAAAGCUUUUGCGGUGUGGGAUGGGCCCGCGGCCUAUCAGCUUGUUGGUGGGGUGAUGGCCUACCAAGGCGACGACGGGUAGCCGGCCGGAGAGGGUGACCGGACACACUGGGACUGCGAUACGGCCCAGACUCCUACGGGAGGCAGCAGUGGGGAAUAUUGCACAAUGGGCGCAAGCCUGAUGCAGCGACGCCGCGUGAGGGAUGACGGCCUUCGGGUUGUAAACCUCUUUCAGCACCGACGAAGCGCAAGUGACGGUAGGUGCAGAAGAAGGACCGGCCAACUACGUGCCAGCCGCCGCAGUAA